AUAAUGCCUUGAUGUUUUGUUGAAGGAUUUUUUCUCUUUCAGAUAAAUGCAAUGUGUAGCUUGAGAUAAACCCUUAUUGAGUAUUCCAUCGUUCGGACGCCAACUUAGUUUUGAUCUGUGUAUGCGACUAUUCCAGAGUGGAAAAUGAUACUCUAGUCUGAGAAUAAGCCUAGGAUUCAAACGCGUUACUCCAAGAUGGAUUACAGAGUUAAAUACUUAAAGCAUCUGCAGAAGCAUAAGGCAAGCAGUCUUUGGAAUCUAACAAGAUGGGAGAUUAACUGAUUUCCUAAAUGAGGUGGAUGGGAGAAGGAAAGCAGCUUUGAUAUUUUACGCAGGCUGACUUAUUUAAUUAAAAAGUCACUUAAAAGGAAUUUCAAAAGUCACAUAAUAACCUUUAAAGUUUAUCUUACCCCCAAAAAAAUUUGCUCUCGGACGAAUCUCUUGUUUAAAAUGUCCAAAAUUUCGAUCCAAAUGCAAAAUAAAAAAGCAAAUAUAUUAAAAUUAAAAAUCAAAGCAUUAUCAACUAAAAAUCCCCUUUAAUCUGAUAAAGAGGAUAUAUAUUAUAAUUUUAAAUUACAAGGUCGUUUAAUUAUUAUCUGAUUUUCUUAUUAUUGUUACAAGUUACAACAAGCCAUUAUCGUUAAUUAUAAUUAUGCGUAGAAUAUGAUAAUAAUGCUUAAUUUAAAUCUAAUUAAACCUUAAUUGUUUCCCGGCUUGAAUUUGCAUUCAGACAAAUUUCACCUUUGACUUCGAGUAAACAAACACACAAACAAACACCCAAACACCCCAAACAAAUAAACAAACAACAAAACAAAUGAACGAACAACAAAUUAAAACAGCACCAAAGCUUAACUAUAGACUAAAAAAAUGACUCAAGCUUAUAAAAUCAAAUUCAUAUGGAAAUUCUAAUAAAAAUGUGAAUAAAAAGUCCUUCUAAAGAAAAUUUGAUCUCUAAAAAUGAAAAAGAGACUGUAAGAGAACAUUUAGAUACGGUUAGAGAUCGUUAGAGACGGUUAGAGAUCGUUAGAGACCGUGAGAGAUCGUUAGAGACCGUAAGAGAUCAUUGGUGAACGUGAGAGAUCAUUAGAGACAGUGAGAGAUCGUUAGAGACGGUUAGAGAUCAUUAGAGACCGUGAGAGAUCGCUAGAGACCGUGAGUGAUCGUUAGAGACCGUAAGAGAUCAUUGGUGA